CUGUCUUCUCUGAACAGCAGUCUUGUGAACACCGGCCUCAGUACACUGAAGAUCUAAGAAAACACUUCACACCCUACAACCCCUAAAAAUAACCCAGAUUUGACAGCAGUGCACACCCAUCUGAGGCCGACCUGUUUUACUUCAUGAUCACCCCAGAUACUUCUACAACUAACCCGCUUUGGUAGUACUGCAAAGAACAGUCUCCAGGGUCUACCUCAGCCAUUUGCUUCCGGACUGCCAUGUGCUAUGUUUGGAUCACUGGUACAGUACAUUUGGAUUACCCUAAUACUGUGAAGAACACUUAGUGUGAUUAAAAAAAUAAAUAAAAAAAAACCCCAUUGGCAACAUGUGCGGCCAACCCAGUGCCAUACUUAUUCAUUGUACUGCUACCUCCACUGUUUACAAGAAGCAUACCCUAAAUCAGAUUGUUUUUGCUUUGUUUCAAAAUGUUUGUAAUACAAGUUAAAACUGCACUGAAAAACAAAAAAAAAGACAUUGCCUUUAACUUUGAACUUUCACUACCUUAAAUUUAUGU